GCAGGGGCUCUGACCUGAGCUCAUAGGGUGGUAGUGGGAUGUGGGUGAUGGCAGAGGCGGCUCAGGAGCGUGAUGAAAACCACCUCGGGGCUUUUUGUGAGCUGCACAAAGGAGCCGGUGGUGGGGAAGUCACAAAAACUCUGUGUGUGUGACAUCAGUGAGCCUAAUUAGAGCUGCAUUGACAGCCCUAGAGAAGGUACUAAGGAGGCCAGAGUGGGAAGGGAAGAGUCAUGGGAUCCUAGCUCAAAGAAAACAGCUCUGAGAACAUAGGCUUUGCGGAGGUCCACUCCCCAGAUCUGCUCUGAACUCCAGGCCUGGUUGUCUUCACCUCCAUAGGAAGCUCGCCUUACCUCACAGCCCUGGUGUUGCUCAGCCUAGGGGCUGCUGACCUGUUCGCUGCGGCAGGACCAUCCUACCGACAAAUGUGAUCACUGUGUCCAGCAUCAGCCUUGCCCUCCAUGCGAUAAACCCUUUGUUCCCACCUAGAUGUGUUAGCCAGGUGUCCCUAAACCCUCUUAGUGCCCUGGGGUGAUAAAAUCAUGCCACCUAGAACCAACGGCUUAGCCUCAUUUUUAACUGUGCUAACACACUUCUCUGCAACACUACCAGAGUGAGCCACGAGUAACAAUAGCAAACACGUGGUCCCAGAGCCUGUCCCGGGCUGUCACAUUCAUUAGUCCCUGUGAGACUCGCAGCAGCCUACGAGGGAUGGGAAGGCGCCAGAGACAACCUUGAAGAGUCAGAUCUGGCAAGGCUGCAGCUACCAUGAGGCCCUCCAGCCACCAUGUGUGACCCUUCACCUACACACAAUUCAACAGGCAUUCCUGAGAGCCCUCUUUUCUCCUGGAUCCCACUGUUUCUUAUGGCUGUCGUAAAGGGGGAAAGGAAACCCAUGCCAGCUAAUUGUAGGUUCUGCCGAAGCAGAGUUCGAGGCGUCAGCAUUGAAACCAGCUUAUUAUCGAUCAGCAAAGACAGGCCUGCACACGGCCAGCCUUUGUUACGCGACGACGGCUGACAUCGCUGCGUUGUUUUUCAGCUGGUAAUUCCUUAAAGACUGAGACAAUAGUCGUUUAAUAUCGUUUGCUCAAAUGAACAGUUCCCCCAGCAAAUAAUAAUAAUAAAAAAAUGUCCCCAAGAAGCCAAUUAGACUCUGCAGCUUGUACCCAGCGACGGCCUUUUUAAUAGACGCCCUUUUUACAAGCACAGCUGUGUCACCCAGAUGAAAAAUCGGCCCCCCUUUUGCUGCUGAUAUGUAAAUAAAUG